ACCACGUGAUCAUCCACAAGAGCAGUGCAGGUUCGCUGAGAUAAGUAGGAACUGCCGAUGACGGAGAUUCCGAGACACUGAGGUGUAGAGCUGGGUGAAUAUAACAGGCCAAGAAGUAUCAGAGGAGCAGGAAAGCUGACGUUUUGUGCCUGGUCCCUUCGCUGAGACUAAGGUUUGUGCAAUUGAGAUACCAGCGAUCGUUGCCAAAGCCCUGUUACCUGUGGAGAAGGUCAUGUUUAACUUUUCCUGUGCUGCUGCAGUUCGUAUGAUGAAGGUGCUCCCACAAUUGUGGUCAUUUGAGAAGUUACAGAUCAUUCAUCUAGCGAUACUGAAGAGCUGAUGGUGAUAUUACAAGUGGACUUUCAGGUGGGGAAACUCAAUAAUUGUAACCCCAAACUCUGACAGAGUUCCUCACUUCAUCAACAUCUGGAUAUUUGCAUUGUGUAUUUCCACAAUUUUACUUCUGCACUGUUCUUAACCUUUUGAUCCCUCUGAAAUACUGAGUUACAAUGCCUGCCCUUCCUCCCUGGCUCUCCCACCUCUCUUUGAGCAGUUUUGUGCAAAUACUGACUGGAUCCCUUGCCUGGAGGAUAUUUAUUUCAAUUUGUCCUAAUGAUGAUCCAGCACAUUUCCCAAGUGUCGCUCCAUAAAUGUCCAGAGGAUUUCUCGAUUUCACAAUCUGUGGUUGUUCUUCUGGUUCCUCACUCACUGCACUUGCUUUCUGUUUGAAAGCUUAGUCUGCAAUUGGAGAAUACAAACAGGUCCACAUCCAGCUCUGACAGUCACUUUGUUUAUCACAAACCAGUUACCUCAGGAUUUUGAACAUUGGAGGAAAAAGCAGCAUUCACACUGGGGAGAAAUGCACAUGGUCUGUAAAGAGUCUGUGAAGAUUCAUCUGAAAUGUCCGAGCACCAGCGCAGUGACACUGGAGAGAGACUGUGGAAAUGUGCAGAUUGCAGGAAUGAAUUUUUUAAUCCAUCCCAGCUAGAAACUGACCACCAGAGUCACACUGGAGAGAAACCAUUCACCUGCUCUGAUUGUGGAAUGGGAUUCACUCAGUCCUCUAACCUGCUUAAACACCAGUGAGUUCGCACUGUAGAGAAACCAUUUGCAUGAAAUGUGGGAAAGCAUUCACUCAGACAUCUCAACCGCUGAUGCACGAGCGAAUUCACACUGGAGAGAGACCGUUGGCCUGUUCUGUGUGAGGGAAAGGCUUUGCUGACUCGAAUUGCCCGCUGAUCCACCAGCGACUUCACUCUGGGGAGUGACCAUUCGUCUGCUCCCAGUGUGGGAAGGGAUUCACUUGCUCACCUAACCUACAGAGCGUUCACACUGGGGAGAAACCAUUCACCUGCUCUAAAUCUGUGAAAGCAUUCACUUGGUCAUCCUACCUGCUUGUGUUCCAGCAGGUUCACACUGGGGAGAACCCAUUCAUGAGCUCUGACUGGGGAAAGCAUUCACUCAGUUAUCCAAACUGUUAACACACCAGUGAGUUCACAAAGAAGCACAGUUGAAGGAUUUUGCUGUCACUCUCACUAUCAAGUGAACCGUGUUUUUGGGCUGUAUUUACUGAUGUUACUGAUCCCUGCUCAAUUAAAAGUACAGGGAGCGAUGGACUUGAACCUCCCAAUCUCCUGAACACCUUUGAGAAUUUCAUCAAACUGACGCCCAGUGGCAGGAAUGGACAGGGUCAGCUUGGAUUGAUGGUCAUAAUUCAGGCUCAACAAAUCUACUGGACCAUUUUGGGAAUGAAAUUAGUGGUGAGUGUGGCCACCUCUCUGUACUGUAGUGAUACAGAUCCCCUGAUCCCGAUUGUCUCAAAUGGCUGACUGACAGUGUCGAAGUCCCUGGGCUGAUAUCGAAUGAUUCCUUGGCCAUGCUGUGUCAGGAUCUCCUGACUGAAUACUAUUCCCCCUUGCCCUGACUGAGAACUGUUUCCCUGAGAAUUUGAGACGUGCCCAUUUGGUCGAAACACGUGUUUGUUGCCACAGGUGCUGACCACCCCUUGACUGACUGCUGGUAAUAACAAUGCUAAGCUGCCUGGCUUAUGCCUGCGAUAAACACCAGGCAAGACAGGAGCACUGUGAGGCAUUAAGUUCUAGUUGAAACAUCAAAGUGCAAAAAUGUCAGGGAAGGGCAGAGAUAUUGCGGCAUAACUCCUGUCAGGUGCUGAAAAGCUUGUAGAGUUCUUAGAGCAAGAAUGUACUUUGUGGACAGGCAAUUCUGCAUCUUGAUUUAGCAUUUUUAUUUAACUCUGGCUCAUUUUGCUAGAUUUGUAAAUAUCUCUCGGUCUGGCUAAUGUGAGAAUUGGCUUUCGGAGUAAUGUGCCACUGACUGUCAUUCACAGUUGUAUCUCGCAUCAGUGAAUUGGUAAUCUGAUUAAGCUCACAGGCCUUGGCAUGAGAAAAAUAAAGCAGUCACAUGCACACUUG